CUCCUACGGGACGCAGCAGUGAGGAAUAUUGGUCAAUGGCCGAGAGGCUGAACCAGCCAAGUCGCGUGAGGGAUGACGGCCCUACGGGUUGUAAACCUCUUUUGUCGGGGAGCAAGACCCGCCUCGUGCAGGCGGAGCGAGAGUACCCGAAGAAAAAGCAUCGGCUAACUCCGUGCCAGCAGCCGCGGUAAUACGGAGGAUGCGAGCGUUAUCCGGAUUUAUUGGGUUUAAAGGGUGCGUAGGCUGAAUGUCAAGUCAGCGGUAAAAAUUCCGGGCUCAACCCGGUCGUGCCGUUGAAACUGGCG
rnacentral:rRNA from 1 species